UACGUAGGGUGCGAGCGUUGUCCGGAAUUAUUGGGCGUAAAGAGCUUGUAGGCGGUUUGUCGCGUCUGCUGUGAAAAUCCGGGGCUCAACCCCGGACUUGCAGUGGGUACGGGCAGACUAGAGUGUGGUAGGGGAGACUGGAAUUCCUGGUGUAGCGGUGAAAUGCGCAGAUAUCAGGAGGAACACCGAUGGCGAAGGCAGGUCUCUGAGCCACUACUGACGCUGAGAAACGAAAGCAUGGGGAGCGAACAGG
rnacentral:rRNA from 1 species